GAAUAUUGGGCAAUGGCCGAGAGGCUGACCCAGCCAUGCCGCGUGCAGGAAGAAGGCCUUCUGGGUUGUAAACUGCUUUUAUCUAGGAAGAAAACGCCCAUGCGUGGGAAACUGACGGUACUAGAUGAAUAAGCACCGGCCAACUCCGUGCCAGCAGCCGCGGUAAUACGGAGGGUGCAAGCGUUGUCCGGAGUUAUUGGGUUUAAAGGGUGCGUAGGCGGCCCGUUAAGUCAGCGGUGAAAUCCCACGGCUCAACCGUGGAACUGCCGUUGAUACUGGCGGGCUUGAGUUCGGUCGAGGCGGGCGGAACUGGUGGUGUAGCGGUGAAAUGCAUAGAUACCACCAAGAACCCCGAUUGCGUAGGCAGCUCGCUAGGCCGAAACUGACGCUGAGGCACGAAAGCGUGGGGAGCGAACAGG
rnacentral:rRNA from 1 species